CCGCGCCGCGCAGCCUCCAGGUUGAGACCAAAAGGAGGAGGGGGAGCGGGCGGCGGGCGCCAUGUUGGUGGCGCGGGAUCGCUUUAGCGCAGGAAGAGCGGCUGCGAGAUGUCGGGAAAGGGGGAGCUGGGCGGCCGUUCCGAGAUGGCGCGGAGGGCUGGAAGCGGAGGGACAGGGCGCCGUUUCGGCUAACGGUUAGCGGGGUCCCGAAGCGGGAGCGGCCCCCGCUGAGGUGGGUGCGCGGCCGUGUGAGGCGGUGCGAGCCAGGACCGCGGUGAGGCGGGAGGGGAGGCUGCUGGGGACGGUGCCUGGGAGCGCGGCGCCGAGCUGCCCGCCCUUCGUGCGUGCUGUCUGCGGGGCUGAGGCGGCGCGGAGGCGGGAGAGCCCGCGGAGAGCAGCGGGUGCUGGGCCCGCAGGGGCCGCUGGGCCGUGCGUGCAGUCGGGGCUGAGGGCGAUCUGCGGCCAGCAGGAGGAGCUUUGCUCGCUGCUCGGAGCGCUGUACUCCAAGCGGAUCUAUAGAUCCACAUACGGAGAAAGGGCAAGGUGGGAUAAUCCUCAAGGACAGGUUGGAUGGGACCCUGGGCAGCCUGGUCUAGUACUAAUGUGACGGGUGGUGGCCCUGCCUGUGGCUGUGGGGUUGGAACUUGAUGAUCCUUGGGGUCCAUUCCAACCCAAGGCAUUCUGUGGGGUUUGUUUCUCUCAUAGAAUCACAAAAUGUCCAGGUUGGAAGGGAUCUCAAGGAUCAUCAAGCUCCACCCCCCGCCAUAUGCAGGGCCACCAACCUCCACAUUUAAUGCUAGACCAGCUGCCCAGGGCCCCAUCCAACCUGGCCUUGAACACCUCUAGGGAUGGACAGGGCAUCCACAGCCGCUCUGUGCAGCUGUUCCAGCACCUCACCUCUCUCUCUGUAAAGAACUUCCCUCUGACAUCCAACCUAAAUCUUCCGUCCUUCAACUUCAAACCAUUUCCCCUUGUCCUGCUGUUAUCAACCCUUUCAAAGAGUUGAUUCCCCUCCUGUUUAUAGACUCCCUUUAAGUACUGAAAAGCUGCCAUGAGAUCACACACAGCCUUCUUUUCUUCAGGCUUCUCUGAGCCAGUCUGGAGUUGGCUGAGCUGACUUGUUUCCCUGCCUUCUAAGCAGUGCUUGCUGCAUCACAUUGGCUAAUCUUUAUCAGCACUCCCACUUUGUGUGCAGUCUCAGCUUCACGCCCUCUUCCUGGCUGCUGCUUUGAGGAAAUGGUGUGUAGAGUUCUGUGCACUGAGCAUUGCUGCUGCCUGUGGUGCUCUGUGUCACAGAAUGGGGGGGAUGAUCCAUUUGUCCAAGGGGAGGUGAAUUUCUGUUUCCUUUCCCUAUAGGGUGGUUAUUUCUGAAAUAACCCUUACUCCAAAGUGGGAGGAAGCACAGCAUUUUGUAUGGUGUGUUAAAUAACUUUGUUUUUCAUUACAGCUGAUUCCUGUAAAAUAAAGUGUUUUAUUCCUUGGAGAAGGUACUUCACUUAGCGGAGUUGGAGAGUUUCAAAGGGUUUCUGAAAGUAUGGGUCAAAGCCCAAUAGUGGUGUAGGUCUGGAAAAAGAAUUUACAGGUUUUUCUUUUCUAAAGUAUUUUGGCUCCUCCUGGAGGUAAGCGCAGUGAAUUUCUCAGAACAACGCUUCACAGUAACUGCACAGGAGUGGUGGUCUGUCCUCCCCACGGCGCUAUCAGAUGGUGAAGGACUAUCAUGAGAUGAUAAGUAAUUCAUAAAACCUGAGCCUUGGCAUCUUGAAAUAUUUGUUGGUAUUGUAGCAGUACUUGCUGUUCUUCUAUCUCUUUAAAUCCACAUCCCUCUUGGCAAAGGAUCUGAGCCAGCUUUUUCCCUUCUCCAUCUUCCCACAAAAGGUCAGGCAUCUUAGAAAAGCACAUGCACCUCACAUAGCUUCUGCACACCCCCCUUAGCCAUUUUUGCUGCAUUCGUCACAGAAGAGGAGAAUAUAAAGCUUUUCUGCUACUAUAAUUUCCAGUUUAGUUUUACACAUCUGAGGAAUUCUGAAUUAAAAGCAUCACUCUCUUUGUUGUUUUUAUUUUCUCUAUGUGGAUGCUUUUAGUUUUGUUGAAGGGGAAAAAAACCAGACAGUAUUAUGUGUCAGAACAGUUGCUGUCCUUAAACUUUAAGGCUAAGCUUAUGCUUAUGUUUGUGCAGCUGAUACCAAGUAAUGAUGGUAAGUAGUGUGAUAGGGUGUGUGAGUCUUUUCUAUAAAUGGCAGAAAGCAUGGUAUGAAAUUGUCCAGGGUAAAUUUGCUGACAUAGUAACUACAUACUUUGCUUUUAUGUGCUAAGUAUCACUGAUACCACCUGCAGUGAUUCCUACUCUUCCUUCACCCACCUUGUUUCCAUGCUGCUGCUCAGAGUAGGAGACAAGGAUCCUGCUUUACAGAUGAAAUUACUUCACUGUUUUACUGUGUUUAUCCGACAAUGUAGAUGCUGCUGAUGUCUCAGUGAGAAUUGAUGUGAAAAGGUCAUGGAAGGAAGGCUUGAUGUGCCUGACACAUAGUUUCCUGUGUUGUACAGUUCAUUCUCAUGAGUUUGGGGUACCCAAUAUUUGUCAGGCUACAUUUUACACAGCUUAGAACUUGGAAUUUUAAAACCUGUAUUAUCUCAAAUGUUGGUAAUCUUUUUACACUGUUCAUCUGGAAAUGCUUACAGUCACUUACCUUCUGACCCAGCAGGUCUCAAUUGCAAGAUCCACAGGAACCUUCUAGCCAUUAUAGCAGCCUUAUAGCCUGCAGAAAUAAGCACUGUCUCAGUUUUCCAUGUGAAAAAACACAAAGUGACUAAAGAACUGAAGGCCUGCCUCUGCUGUAUUCUAAAUACAUGGGUAUACUCUGGUUUAAUGCAUUUUAUGGAAGCUGCUUCAAGUGCUUGUAUGGUCCUGAGCCUGCUAAGCUGUCAUAUUUGUCUGUGCUUUGCUGUACCAGCAUCCUACGCUGCAGAAACCGCGAGUUUUCCUUUUUGCAAAAAUGAAUUUGGUCUGAGUGCACUCCAGUAAGCAGCCACUGUGCCCUGAGAGUGAGGAGAAGCAGCUGGAAGUCGUGGAAGAUGGUGCAGAGAACAAGGAGGAGUAGGAACGUGUGUUGGCCUUCUGCAAAGAAGCAGUUAGUGCGUGUUUGUAUGCUUUCUUUGCUUUCAUCGUGGUAAAUUCUUGCUCCUAAUUAAAACCUGAAAGAUUUUGUUGUAAAUUCAACCUUCACUGGAUGACGUACUGGAAACGUGCCUGCAAUCCACAUGAGGAACAUGUGUGUGUAUGAGAUGGUGUGUAAAAACAUUCCUGGGUAAGUUUUAAGGUGUUUUGUUUGUGUGGAGUCACCAUCCAUGUCAGCAGAGCUUGGAGAACUGUUAAGAUGUUGGCCUUCUCUGUUGUAAUCGUUGACCCUGUGUAAUUGCCAGCACACAAGUCAGCUGGGUGGGAGGGUUUUCAUAAUGACUUGUAGAAGUGACACAAUUUUUGUUUCUCUUGGCACGUAAAUAAGUUUUAAAAUUCUUUCUUUGUUGUCUGCAGUCCCUUUGGAUGAAGGGGGAGAGCUGUAGAGUCACUGGGGCUCUGCUGCCUGUAGGGCCUGUGAAGGAAGCAGGUAAAGAGGCAUUGAAAUGAGUGCUCUGAUAUUGGAGAAGCUGCUGUGAUGGUUUCCUUCUGUGAUGAUCUACAGAAAUGCUUUGUGGAGUAAUAACAGCUUCAAGGUAAGGGUGUGGAUUCAGCUGGCUGUAGGUAAGUACCUCUGUGUGGUGUGAGGACUUGGGAAAACAGGUGAGAAUGGAAGAGUUCUGUAUCUCAGUGUUGUAAACGAAACGGGGGGGAGCAAUUGUUAAAUUUUCAAAAGAUCUCGGGAUUCCUGUAAUAACUUUUCUAUAUUCUGUUUUUCAGCACAGGAGGAGCCUCUUCAAGUGUUGUGAACAUGUUCUGAAGUUCAGUAGCAGUUACACAACGUGGGGUGGGAGGUGCACAGGCUACUGCAAGUUGUGGCCUCACAGGAACCAGUUUUAAUAGAGGGGAAACCUCAGGUUCUCUUGGAACUUCCAUGAAUUUAAGUGAGGACUCAUUGGCAAUGGUGAAACAGGAUGUUACUUCUAUUUUUGACACUGGACGGGGGGAUGAGGGUACUGAGCUUCAUACUUGAUAAUCAGGACGCAGUGAUGGGCCUUGGCAGAAGUGCAGACUGAAUCCAGGAGGAUUGCAGCUGUGGGGAAACUCACUUUCCCAAGUAGCAGUGGCAGAAACUUCCUGAGAAGAGGGAAUGGAUGAGUGUCUGCUGCUCAGCUGAAUAGGGAUAGUUCUUUUGAGACCAUAAAUAGAGCCACGCUGUCCAGAACUACUCACACCACUUCAGUCUUGGUCAAACCAGACCAUGUUUUGUUAUUUAAAAAGUCACAGUAUUGUUUGGCCCACCCAGCUCCUGCAGGGCUAUGGGGACCGGAGCACUGCACUGAAGAUCUGCCUCAGCACACCUGGCUGGGGUCCAGGCCUGGAUGGAAGCCCUGUGGUUGGCUGUGUCCCAGCUUUUGUGUACCCAACAGGAACCUCAGCGCUUCUGAGUAGAGCAAGUUAACACUUGGGAUGCACUGGUGUAGCUGUAGCUGGUAUGUGCUGCACAAAGGGCUGUGUGUUGUACAAAGCAAGUUGGGUUUUGAGGUUUGCUGGCUGCAGGCCCCACUAUUGCCAGUAGAUCUGGGGAGAAGCUCUAACCCUGGGUUUGUACCACAUCUCACUGGGGAGCCAAUGUGUGUGCCUGUGCCAGACAAACAGUCCAUGAGCUGACCAAUCCUUAAGCACGGUGGCAGUUGCCAUGCUUGUAAAACAACAAGGGGUAAGGGAGAUAAGUAGAGGUUCUUCAUGAUCCACAAACUGAAAUCCAAAGCUCACUGACGAUAACUGUAGAAAAGGGAACUGAAAGGUAUGGUUAAGGCAGUGUGACCCUUCAGGUACAGCAAACUUCCAGUGCUGUUCUUUGUCCCUUGUGUGGUUUGUGGAGAAAGUGGAUGUAUAACAGAGGUAAGACAGCUGGAAUUUGUGUCAAAUUGUGCAUUGCUGUAAGGAUGUCCUGCAAGGAAACUGCUAAUGCUGGAGUCCCUGACUAUGUGUCACAGUGUGCUCACUUUCUCUGGCUAUUCAGAUGCAGUGGCACGAAGUUACACAUUGAUUUUGGUGCCAUUCAUCUGAAAAUCCAAAUGUUUGCAGUGUGAGCGCAUUAACAGCAAUGCUGUCAGAGCGUUCAUUAACACACACAAGGCAUUUCCUUUUGGGUGACUAACAGUGCAAUGUGAAGAAGCACCCGGCUGCCAGGAGGUGUCACUUGGUAGCGGCUUCUGUGCUGGAAUUCCCUGAGUUUGCUGCUCCUGCCUUUGAUGGGAGCUUUGUAUCAGAAUCAUGGAAUGGCCCAGGUUGGAGGGGACCUCAAGGGUCAAGCACUGAACCCCUAUGCUGUAUGCAGGGCCACCAACCUCCACAUUUAGUACUAGACUGGUCUGCCCAGGGCCCCAUCCAACCUGGCCUUGAACACCUCCAGGGACGGGGCAUCCACAACAUCUCUGUGCAGCUGUUCCAGCACCUCACCACUCUCUCUGUGAAGAACUUCCCCCUGACAUCCAACCUAAAUCUUCCCUCCCUCAACUUCAAACCAUUUCCCCUUAUCCUGCAGUUAUCUACCCUUUCAAAGAGUUGAUUCCCCUCCUGUCUGUAGGCUCCUUUUAGGUACCAAAAGGCUGCAGUGAGGUCACCCUGCAGCCUUUUCUUCAGGCUGAACAAGCCCAGCUCCCUCAGCCUGUCUUUGUAGGGGAGGUGCUCCAGCCCUGUGAUCAUUUUUGUGGCUCUCCUCUGGACCCAUUCCAACAGCUCCCUGUUGGAUUUUCCCAAAUUGUUUCACUAUUUUGUCAUUCAUUGGCUCUUUUCCCACCUCAUCACAAGCCCAACUAUUUUGUUUUUGGUUUUGCCAUUUCUCUGUAAAUGCCUUUUCCUGGAAAACACAAUGACAGUAAGUAGCUCAAGCUGCUGGCCAAGCUUCCAUUCCUGUGGUUUCACUUGCUCUAUUCUGUCAAGUUAUUUACAUACAGCAUCCUAAGGAUGUAACUUAGUGGAAUGCUAGUAAGCACUAUCAUUUGUGUCUGCCUUCAGUCAACAUAGGUCAGGCUUACCCAGGCUGCUUCCUACUGUGAAUUCACUGCCUACUCGUACAGCCCUUGGUUGCUGUAUUUCAUGGAACAACAGCGUGAUCUGCUCAUGCAGAAACUACAAAAAGGACAGGCUGGGGUCGGUCGCUUUACCUGCUGUGUUGCACAACCCAGAUCUGUUCUGAACCUUGCUCUUGCAUACACGAGCCCUGGGGCGCUCAAGUGAAAGGGGUAAUCACAUCUUAACAGCUCUGGUGUGUUUCAGUGUAGGAGAGAGAUCUCAAAACUAGCAUAGAUGUUUGAGAUUGACUGUAUUAUCUCUCUGAAAACAGAGCUGCCGUCUCAUUCCCUGGUUCUGAAUUCAUCUAUCUCAGAGCCUUUGGGGGCAUGCAUUCCACAGGUUUUGAAUUCCAAGACUGCAGCUGUGUUAUACGGACUGGAUGGCGCGGCUCAUUUAAGGAGCUCAGUGUUAUCUUUUGCCCUUUGCUCUCCUGUGCCUGUCUGCAGCAGCAGGGUGAUUAGCAGGCUGUUAAUGUCCAGCCCUGUGCCUGCUUUUCUUUAGCCAAAGUUGGAGACAUAAGAAGUUUGUGUGACUUCUCUAAAAACCUGGAGUGGGUCAGUGAGGUGGUUGAGAGCAUUUGCAACAAGGCAGUAAAAGCUGGUGAUAGGGUACACAGCAAAAGUCAGUCCUUGGGUUGCUGCAGCCUUCAUCUCAUUAAAUCAUGCACCUGAAGAUGGGGUUUGGUUUGUAGGGGAGGAGCAGCAGCACGUCCCUUAUGCGUGUGGUGGUUAAUGGUGUUUUUUCUUCUUUAGGUCUCUGAUACAUGACUGCUGAGUGUUCUGCUGUGUGCUGCCUUCUGAGCAGGUUUGAGGAACCACAAAGUCUGUGAACAGCAUUGGUGAUGCUAGGUGUAGUCAAGCAAAUGAUGAGAGAGCUAGAAUAAGAUGUGGAGCAGGAUUCCAACAGUUUAACUGUUACAGAGGGUACACAUUUAUCGUAUGAUGCAAUUUCUUACAGUUAAGGAUUUACAUGUUACUCCUGCACACCUAGCCAAAUACACCCUUUGUGUUUAAUGGCAAGGUAGAUUUGCACAGAGAGAAUUAGGUACUCAGCCAUUUCAGAGAUAGGAUAGGUGUUUUCCAUGUCAGUGCUUUUGCAGUGCUCCUUGAUAAGAGUACACAGUGGAAUUCCUUACCAUGCAGAUGUGCUCUACUGCCUCCACUCUGGCAAUAGUGAAUCGUGUCCUCUGUGAGCCUUUGCUUUCAUUGUAACCCUUUCUGCUGAAAUAAUCCCCAGAGGGAUUAUUGCUGUUGUUAAGCUUCCUGGAAAAAUCAGAGGCAGAUGCGGUCCUGGUGUGAAUUGGCAGGAGGGCGCUGCACAGCCAGCUGGGUGCUGCAUCUCACCUGGGAUGUAGGACAGUGUGUUGUCAAUGAGCUCGUCCCAGUGAAGUCCAUUAAGCCUCCUGCAGAUCUCUGCCAGCUAAAAGCUCCUCUCAAAUCCUGGAUAGUGGGUGACCAGGGUGACCACUGGCCCAAUCAUACCCACUAUAUGUAUUUAUAAUAUAUUGCCUCUAUUGAGACAAUUUUUCACUUUAUAUAAAUCAAUAAGCCAAGAGAGUCAAGGAAAAAUAGAGAAGUGUGAUGUGUUGCUGACAGAACCCUGGAAUGGAGUGGCAGUUCCCUGUUGAGGAAGCUCAGAGGUGUCCUAGACAAUAGAGUUUGUGUGAAUGUUUCUGCUUUGUUAAAAGUUUUUAAUCCCAUCUGUCUUUCCGACUCUCAACCCUGAGAAGGUUCUUUGGCUGUGGAUUAACCUUGUCAGGAGAACCAAGGCACGAGACAUGCUUGGAGACAGGAGCAGUUGGAAGGGACCUUGAAAGGCCAUCUAGUCUAACUCCCCUUCAAUGAACAGGGACACCACAGCUCCAUCAGGUUGCCCAGGGCCUGAUCCAGCCUCGCCUUGAAAGUCUCCAGGAACAGAGCAUCAACCACAUCACAAGGCAGCCUGUUCCAGUGCGUCACCACCCUCACUGUAAAAGACUUUUUCCUUAUAUCUAACCUAAAUCUUCCCUCUUCAAGCCUGAAACCAUUUCCCUUUGUUUUGUUACAACAGACCUUGGUAAAAAAAGUCUCUUUUUUCUUCCCUUCUUUCCUUUUCUUCACUUACCCAUUGUUGAAAUUGGGCCAUAAGACACGAAAGUUGUUGAGCUCAAGCUUCAGAGGACCUGGGUCCUGCAGUGGUACCCUCGGGUUCAAUCACUUAUGCCUCAGGACCACGCUUCGUGCUGGAUGGCUUCUCUAAGUAGCUCCUUCCAGCUCCUAAGCUGAUGACACCCGGGGUUGAAUAGUGAACCUCUGUGGUCAUGUGCCUUAAGUACCUCACAGAUAGAAGUGCCAUGCUGAAGGUAUCAAGUGAAGGCACAACACAAGUGUUGCUGAAAACAAAGCAGUCACCACUGAUGUGCAGUAGUGCAAAGACUUUGCAGCCAACACAGCCCUUCUUUACAGUGUUCUUAACAACAUUAUCCCUUGGAAACCUAUUUAAUAACAUUUUUUAAAGAGGAGAUUCAAACAUUUCAGUUCUUUACCUCUACUACGGUAUUUCUGUAUUUUAAUGCACUCAGAUGCAGGUUGCUACCAAUGCCAUUUUAUUAAAACUUACCUUGGAAAGCAUCUAUAGAUAAAAUGUAACUUUUUGAAGCUUCUUGGAAUAGUUUGUGACUACUGGGAUACUCAUUUUUAUACCUGAUUUGUGGCAUCACAGAAAAAAAUAUUUGCAUUCCUAAGUCCAAGACACAGAGCAGUUUUGUUAAUGCUUUAGAACAGAGUAACAAGAAUAGCUCAGAUUUUCAAGACAGGACCGUUAGAUUCACGUUUUAAAUAAAAUGAAUGCAUGCAUUCUCAUAGUUGGUAUUCAGGCAGGGUUGGUUUGCUGGCCCAUCUGUUUUCCUUACAGAGCUGCAAAGAGAACACAGAUCAUGUCAGCAGUCAGAAAUCCUGCUCAUCUUCUCUCCCAUCACAGACCCUUUUGGGGAUGUCUGUAUGUGUAGCACUGGCAGUGCCAGCAGUGUGUGGCUGUGGCUGCAAUGGGAGGCAGCAGCAUGGCCCCCAGCUGCAGAACCGCAGCACCCAUCAUGCUAACAGGCAGGGAGAGGAGCUCAGCCCUUUCCAAGGUCCCACUGCUCAGGUGUGACGUUCAGUGUAUGCAGGUACUGCACAGUGCUGCAAAAUGUGUGUCAGAUGUGUGGGUCUCUGCUUGCUUUGACGUGAGAGAGGCUGCUCCAGUUGCUGCUUCUGUUCAGGACCAAAAUGCAUGAAAGAAAUAAUGGAAUAAAUUGGCAGCACUCUAGCAUUGAUUAGGGAUUGAAAGUAAGACACUGCUGUUGGAUUUGUGCAUGGAAUUAGUGGGGUAUCACCAGACUUGAGACAUGUAACACAUGCCCAGUCCAUGGCUUUACUUGCAGCCUGCAAAGAGGACCGUGGACAUCCCAGCACCUCUUAGCCUGAUUUGAGAAUCUACGUUUGUAGAACACAGGCUAGCCAAAGCCUGAUCCCAAGUGUUAUUUGUGCAUGCAUAAUUAUUCUCAUGUAGAAUCGCCCUAUUUCUGACAGUUAACGACUAGGCAGUUAAUUAUGUGAGAACUAGAAUGCCAAGUGGGCUCCAUUCUCAUGCUGUGUUACAGGGAAACUGAUUUCUCUCUUGAGAUGUCUGUUCCUCUCAGCUGACUACAUAGGGAGCAGAAGUUAGGACAGCUCACAGAUACCUACGCAUGUAUCUGUAAGUAAGCCUCACCCAGCAUGUCUGCUGGCUGUUGUUACUAACAUUGGGUAAUGCCUGCCUCAUCUCUGAAGGUCUGUAGGAGUGUAUCAUCUUUUAUGGGAUCUGAUAUCACAGCUGAUGGCAUAAACCACAACAGUUACUUAUAUAAUUAGCAGAUAGUCAUUAGCUUUUGUAAAAUCAGUAGAAUUCCACAUGGGAGGAAUUGCACAAGUGUUAGAAGUUCAGGCUGUUGUUGACUGGAGAACUGUUAGCAAGUACCUAAUGAGCAGCAAUAGUAAGUGAUGAUGGAAGCUCUAUCAUGUAAAUAUAGAAAUACGGAGUGUUCCAUAUUCCGUAUUGGAUGCUCUACUGGGGGCUCUCCUACUGUAAUGCUUUUUAUAUAGGAAAAAAAGAUUUGAACAAAAACUUCUAUCCGUGAUGUCAGUUCAGAAGCUGUAUUUUCAAAACUGAGUUCCUGUCUAAAGUGCAGUAAGUGCCAAACAAAAACAAAAAUGAAGACCAGCAGUCUUCAUUUUGAAUGGUUCCAGAUGUACAGCACAGAUGAGGCCACAGUAUCCGCUGCAGUAAGUAACACCCUGAUCAGUUUGCGGAAACAGAGCAGAGACCAACUCCAGCACAAGACUGAAGAUUUCCAAGGCAUCUUCCACAAUGGCUUUGAACUGCAGAUUAUUUUUGGCUCUCCAUUCCACAAAACACAGGUAGCAGCAAACACACAGACAAGGUCUAUGUCCUUGCCUUCUGCAGGGCUGAAGCCUUUUGAACCAGCUCCAACACUGUGUCCAAAGUGCAAGAAGGGUGGUUCAUUUAUUUGAAGGCAGAAAAAUGCCAUGGGAAUUAUUGAAAGGAUCCAAGGAACAGAGUCAUUAGAAAUGAGAUUAUUGCAGACAGGGACCUAUUCAUGGGAUCAGUAUAUGCUGUGGCUCUUCCAGCACGUUUUCCAGUCUACACAAGGCUGUGCAGAGCUACCUGCAGGGUUUGAAGUGUCCCCAUUGCCUGAACUCAGACGUUAACGAUAUGGAAAACUUGGCGUGUGAUUCCUUGCUGCAAGGACCUGUUGGUGUACAUGUGGGCUUUCAGGUUAUGGAAAUGACCCAUUAUAUAUAAAAUAGCCUCUUCCUGUUUGCAGUGAUGCAGUGAAACACUGACUCAUCUCUAAACCUUUACCUUCCCUGAACAGCCUUUCUCAUCUGCCACAUUGUAUACUUUGGGUUGAUAGCGGUGGAGAGGAGACUUUACUUGAGCACAUCACUUCUGGAUGAAUUGCUGUGCCUUCCUGGGGAAAAGAUUUGAAUUCCAUCACUGUUGAUUGAAAUUACAAUAGAAUGCUAAAAAAAAAAAAAAAAUCAAA